UACGUAGGGGGCAAGCGUUGUCCGGAAUCAUUGGGCGUAAAGAGCGUGUAGGCGGCUCGGUAAGUCCGCUGUGAAAGUCCAGGGCUCAACCCUGGAAUGCCGGUGGAAACUGUCGAGCUAGAGUCCGGAAGAGGCGAGUGGAAUUCCUGGUGUAGCGGUGAAAUGCAUUGAGAUCGGAAAGAACACCAACGGCGAAAGCACUCUGCUGGGCCGACACUGACACUGAGAGACGAAAGCUAGGGGAGCAAAUGGG
rnacentral:rRNA from 1 species